AUACUCAUUAUGAAGAAAUCAGUAAGCUUAUAUGCAGAGGUUCUCUGCUUUCUUCAUAUUAAAGAUCCAAGAUAUACUGCAAAUAAAGUGUAAAUCGUAGGGAA